ACGGAAGGCAGCAGUGAGGAAUAUUGGUCAAUGGGCGAGAGCCUGAACCAGCCAAGUAGCGUGAAGGAAGACUGCCCUAUGGGUUGUAAACUUCUUUUAUAGGGGAACAAAGUGUUGUACGUGUACGAUUUUGCGUGUACCCUAUGAAUAAGCAUCGGCUAAUUCCGUGCCAGCAGCCGCGGUAAUACGGAAGAUGCGAGCGUUAUCCGGAUUUAUUGGGUUUAAAGGGAGCGUAGGCGGACGUUCAAGUCAGCUGUGAAAUCCAGUGGCUCAACCAUAUGGACUGCAGUUGAAACUGGAUGUCUUGAGUGUGCAUAAGGAUGGUGGAAUUUGUGGUGUAGCGGUGAAAUGCUUAGAUAUCACAAAGAACUCCGAUUGCGAAGGCAGCCAUCUGGGGCAUUACUGACGCUGAGGCUCGAAAGUGCGGGUAUCAAACAGGAUUAGAUACCCUGGUA
rnacentral:rRNA from 2 species